GUUCAAAGGCACAGAUGAUAGCCAGGUGCCUCAUCUCAUGCCUGUGGAAAAACCUGUGUGAGAGGAGUGUCUGACUGUUUUCUGUGCCUUUGCGA
rnacentral:pre_miRNA from 1 species